UUCCCUGUCCUAUGUUUGUUAAUGUUUUGAGAUUAUGACCGCUUCACUCUUGGGUACUCGAUUUGAACAUUUUUCAGCAUAUUUAAAGGAUGGCAGUCAUUUUUAUCAUUCAACAGCGCGAACAAAAUACACUCCAAAAACUAGCGUUCGUAAAUAUAGUGUAUCCAAUUUAUCUUGUUGCUGUAAAAUUUCUUGAGGUCAUAAAGCAUACAAUAUCUGGAAUAUUUCAUAUUAUAUACGAACAUAUGCGUUAUCCCAUUCGAUGUGUCGUAUCUGACAAUGGGAGUUUGGCUUGUAGUAGCAGGUUUGGCUGUUCACAUUGUAUUCUUCUACUCCAUCUUUGAUAUCUACUUCACCUCUCCCCUUGUUCAUGGCAUGACUCCACACUCCGUUCCAUUAAAACCACCUGCUAAACGAUUGCUACUCUUUGUGGCUGAUGGCCUGAGAGCAGAUAAAUUCUUUGAGCUGGAAGAAGAUGGUUCAAGUAGAGCACCAUUUUUAAGGACCAUAAUAGAACAACGAGGGGCAUGGGGAGUUUCGCAUACCAGAGUGCCAACCGAGUCUAGGCCUGGACAUGUUGCUCUCAUUGCUGGUUUCUAUGAGGAUGUCAGUGCAGUGGCUAAAGGAUGGAAAGAAAAUCCAGUUGAGUUUGACUCAUUGUUCAAUGAGAGCAGAUACACCUGGUCCUGGGGCAGCCCAGAUAUCUUACCAAUGUUCUCUAAAGGUGCAUCUGGUGACCAUGUGUUUAUAGAUAUGUAUCCCUCUGAAAGUGAAGACUUUGCUGGAAGUGACACCUCAAAGCUUGAUACUUGGGUGUUUGACAGAGUCAAGGAUUUUCUCUCAGAAGGACGUAAGAAUGUCACUCUUGGUAACAUGCUUCACCAGGACAAGUUGGUGUUCUUUCUACAUCUGCUAGGCAUAGAUACAAAUGGCCACUCACACAAGCCUUAUUCAAAGGAAUAUUUAGAUAAUAUUCGGAUAGUGGAUUCUGGAAUCCGAGAACUCACCUCCCUUAUUGAAGAGUUCUAUGAGCAUGAUGGAAGAACUGCAUACAUCAUGUCAGCAGACCAUGGCAUGACAGACUGGGGUUCCCAUGGCGCCAGUCACCCAUCUGAAACCUUGACACCCCUUGUAGCUUGGGGGGCAGGGGUAAGAGGGCCAAAUAUGGGGGAAGAUAUUCAAGAGAAACAAGCAUUCCGUGAUACUUUCUCUCAAGAUUGGGACUUAUCACAUAUAUCAAGGAAGGACGUAGAGCAGGCAGAUAUUACAUCUUUGAUGGCUGCCCUUAUAGGCACGUCAUUCCCUGUCAAUUCUGUGGGUGUUCUUCCACUUGACUACAUCAAUGCUUCUGAUGAGUUCAAAGCCCAUGCAAUCUUCACCAAUACUCAACAGAUCCUUGCCCAACUUACUAUUAAAAUGGCAGAGAAACAAGAAACAACACUAUCAUGGCUCUUCAGACCAUAUAAGGCAUUACCAGUAGACAAUCAAAUCCAAUUUGUGAAAUCAAUUCAGAGGAAAAUCCAUGGAAAGGAAUACAGAGAGGCAAUUGAAGACUCUAGGGAAUUAAUUAAACUUGCCUUAGAUGGACUUGAGUAUUACCAUGGUUAUGAUAGACUAUUCCUUGGGGCAAGUAUAGCUAUGGGCUACCUAGGUUGGAUAACGUACAUAUUGACAAUCAUUAUACAGGACUAUACCAAUAUUGUUGCAACAUCAAAAAUUGCCCAAUCUCAAGCAACAUAUCUGAGAUCUGAAGAGGGGAUUAGAACCAUAUUUGCAAUUUUAGGUGCCAUUGUGGCUUUUUUGCUUUAUGUACAAUCACUGCCUUGGACUCAUUAUAUAUACUGCUUACUUCCAAUUAUGCUUUGGAAUGAAGCUUUACUCAAAAUCAAUGUGAUAUCUCAAGUGAAAGAAUCUAUAGAGGGUGUUGGCAAUCUCAUGAUGAUUAUCUUCAAAGUGUUCGUUGCUGUGGCUGGACUUGAAAUAAUUGUGCUCACUUUUUUUUAUCGUGAACUUUUAACUCUUGGACUUGUUGCUAUGGCAAUAUGGCCCAUUAUGACAUCACUUAGAAGUAGCAACAAAAUGGUAGUAGUGUUUUGGAGUGUUUCCUGCUUAUCUGUUGCUGUGUUUCCAAUGCUUCCAGUGGUUGGCAGGGAUACUGAUUACCGACUAGUCUCGCUGGCGGGAUGGACAAUUCUGGCAUUGGGUCUCUAUGCAUUCAGACAAUUGAGUAAAAAUGCGUUUUAUAGCCCAAUCAGAUCAAAUAAACUACAUGUACUAUUUUUUAGUCAGCUAGUCACUUUAGGUGUGGCGAUACUCAUCUUGAAUUCAACCUCCUCCAGCAUUGCAAGCAAACAAGGCCUUCCAUUGCUCAACCAGGGCCUCAGCUGGCUAAUUUUAGUGUUAUCUGUGCUCCAGCCUCUAUUAGGAAGUACACACAUGGUUCCACGGCUACUCAGUCUAGGGGUGUCUCUCAGCGCCCCCUAUAUCCUACUCAGCAUGUCUCAUGAGGCACUGUUCUACUUGUCACUCUGCUGUUUGCUGUAUGCCUGGCUACUAGUGGAAUACAGCAAUACAUCACAUACCAUCAAGGCCAAUGAGCUAGACUUUAGCAAGGGCAGCGUGCUUGGAGAACCUACAAGAAAUCUACACACAGCUGAUCUCAGAGUGGCAUAUUUCUUUGUAUUUUUCAUUUUGACAGCAUUUUUUGGAACAGGAAAUAUAGCCAGCAUUAACAGCUUUGACCCAGUGUCCGUAUACUGCUUCCUAACCAUCUUUAACCCUUUCAUUAUGGGAGCACUCAUGCUUUGGAAGAUUGUGAUUCUAUUCAUACUGGUCACAUGUACAUUCAGCGCUAUACAUGUCAUCCUCAAUGUGCCAACCAAGAGCCUAUUUAUGGUGGUCCUUCUCAUGUCAGACUUCAUGGCACUGCACUUCUUUUUCCUGGUUCGUGAUUCUGGGAGUUGGUUAGAGAUUGGCACAAGUAUCAGCCAUUAUGUGAUCGUCAUGACAAUGAUUAUAUUUCUCAUGUUGUUACUUGGAAUAGCAAAGGUGUUCACAACAUUCCAAUUUACAUGCACUUCAAGGAGGAAAUCUCAUUUUCAAUAAUGUAUUUAGAGAAGUCCCAUCGUCAGUGGAACAGAGAGAGAGGGGGGGGAGGCCAAGGCGGAAAGGGAAAGGUUAAGUGCCAUGAUCAUAAAGACAUUCAACACAUUUGGUAAAGCUGAUACAAUUGAUGAUUGUGCAUAUAAUUUCAAAUUAAUCCCAAUGCUAUGUCAUAUUGAUUACAAAAUUGAACAUAAUCCAUGUGAGCCACUUUAUAGUUUCACCCUUAAAUGUUUAUUUACUCUUAAUUUUAUGUAUUACAGUAAGUUUAAUUUAAAUUAAUCUUUUGCCAUCUUUACAAGAUACAAUGUAUAUGCUAGAUGUUUUUAGGAAAUCAAAUUCAGUGUAUGUAAAGCUAAAAUACAGUAUUGGUAAAGGUUUAAUAACUGAUCUUGAAUGGAUGGGACAGCCAGAUGAGUUUUGUAGUACUUGAUCAAUGAUCAUGUGAAUAGGAUACUCAUGAACAUGUUUCGUUUCCCUGUCUGUCAAUUAGCUCUAUACUGGUGACAAAAUCAAGGUGUUAUAUUAUUCAUAUAACCUUUGGAGCAUUUAUUUUAACUUAGUUUUAUUCUAUCCUCUACAAUGAAAAUGAAGUGGAAUAUGUAUACUGUAUGUGCAGUGUCAUAUAUUUUGCAUUAUUAUAUCAUUGCUAGAAUUGAUGUAAUUUUAUUGGUUUAUAUAAUAUAAAACCAUGUGAUCAAAAGUGCCACAGCAUAUUUCAUAUUUCCCUCAAGUUUUGGAAUGAUAAAGACAUAUGUUAUAUAGUGUUAAACAAGAUACUGUACAAUACAAUACAAUACAAUACA
rnacentral:misc_RNA from 1 species